rnacentral:rRNA from 1 species
ACGGAGGGUGCAAGCGUUGUCCGGAUUUAUUGGGUUUAAAGGGUGCGUAGGCGGUCUUUUAAGUCAGUGGUGAAAGCCUCCAGCUCAACUGGAGAAAUGCCAUUGAUACUGCAGAGCUUGAGUACAGAUGAGGUAGGCGGAAUUGACGGUGUAGCGGUGAAAUGCUUAGAUAUCGUCAAGAACACCGAUAGCGAAGGCAGCUUACUGGGCUGUAACUGACGCUGAGGCACGAAAGUGUGGGGAUCAAACAGGA